GACGAACCGUGCGAACGUUGUUCGGAAUCACUGGGCUUAAAGGGCGCGUAGGCGGGCUGUCCAGUCUGGGGUGAAAUCCCGCGGCUCAACCGUGGAACUGCCUUAGAUACUGACGGCCUCGAGGGAGAUAGGGGCAUGCGGAACUGUAGAUGGAGCGGUGAAAUGCGUUGAUAUCUACAGGAACUCCGGUGGCGAAGGCGGCGUGCUGGAUCUCUUCUGACGCUGAGGCGCGAAAGCUAGGGGAGCAAACGGG
rnacentral:rRNA from 1 species